rnacentral:rRNA from 1 species
CAGUAGCCACGGUAAUACGGAGGGAGCUAGCGUUGUUCGGAAUCACUGGGCGUAAAGCGCACGUAGGCGGCUAUUCAAGUCAGGGGUGAAAGCCCGGGGCUCAACCCCGGAACUGCCUUUGAAACUAGAUAGCUUGAAUCUUGGAGAGGCGAGUGGAAUUCCGAGUGUAGAGGUGAAAUUCGUAGAUAUUCGGAAGAACACCAGUGGCGAAGGCGACUCGCUGGACAAGUAUUGACGCUGAGGUGCGAAAGCGUGGGGAGCAAACAGGAUUAGAUACCCGUGUAGUCCCUGUCUCUUAUAC